rnacentral:rRNA from 1 species
UGGGGAAUUUUGGACAAUGGGGGCAACCCUGAUCCAGCAAUGCCGCGUGAGUGAAGAAGGCCUUCGGGUUGUAAAGCUCUUUUGUCAGGGAAGAAACGGGCUGGGCUAAUACCCUGGUUUAAUGACGGUACCUGAAGAAUAAGCACCGGCUAACUACGUGCCAGCAGCCGCGGUAAUACGUAGGGUGCGAGCGUUAAUCGGAAUUACUGGGCGUAAAGCGUGCGCAGGCGGUUGUGCAAGACAGAUGUGAAAUCCCCGGGCUUAACCUGGGAAUGGCAUUUGUGACUGCACGGCUAGAGUGUGUCAGAGGGGGGUAGAAUUCCACGUGUAGCAGUGAAAUGCGUAGAUAUGUGGAGGAAUACCGAUGGCGAAGGCAGCCCCCUGGGAUAACACUGACGCUCAUGCACGAAAGCGUGGGGAGCAAACAG